AUGACGUGACUCGUUCCCAGAGCACGGGGCUGUGUCAGUGGGAUGGCUCUGGUUUACCUCGUUGUGCCUGUUCACAAGGUGUUCGAGGGUUUUCGUUGUUUAAAUGGGAUGAGCUGAACAAAGCCACGCAGCUCCUGAACAAAAAGCGGGUUCAGCAGGAGUUCAGGCAGCAGAAGCUGCAGCCUUGAACCUUGGUGGCUUUGACCACAGCAUCUGAGCGAGGCGCGAGGAGCUGUGCUGGCAUCGUGGUUAAUGAGUAUCUGCAAGGUGCCCGGUGUUUCGCGGUGAUCACAGCUCCCAGCUCAGCCUGGUGACAGAACUGCUUGCAUAAGGAAGGCACUGCGGGCAGUGCACAGGGAUCAAAAAAAAAAAAAAAAACGAGCACUUGAUCAGGAUUUUGGUUAUCUUACUGCAUUGUAGCAGACAAUUAAUGGCUGAAGAGGCUCUCCCAGCUUGCAACCAGUUCCUUGACCCUGAGCUUUCAAAACCCACGUGUGGGGUCACUCGUCCCUGGUGCACAAAACACCUGGCUGAGCCUGAAGGCAGAAGAUUUCCAACCCGUAACAUUUACAUUUCUUUUAGCAGAUUGGGAGGCAUCGCCGUUCGUCAUUCUUAGUUCAGGGCGUUUAUUUCUGGCUGAAAGCUCCGUGCAGCUCGGUGCCUUCAUAUUUAUAGACUGGCAGAUAAAAGCAGGGCUGUUUCGGGGAACUCUGUUUUCAUUGGCAGGGAGCAUGUUUGGAUUACAGCAGGGUAGCACCUAAAGUUACUCAUAGUCAAGCAAGUCUCCGAGCCUUGAAUUUUACGGAGGGGGGCACCACAAGCUGUUUAAUUUCCCUUUUUUUAAAUUAAACAUUCAACAACAGCCAUAGCUGUGGUUUCUUCAGCGUGAACUGAAAUGGCUUUACCAGCCCAAGGACGGAUGAUUUAGGGUCUCCAGCCCCCACUUCACAAUUUAGUCAGCUGAAGACGUGAAAAAAAUAAAAUGAAAAUGGGUGUAAAAAGGUUUGAUUUGGUUCUCUGACCUUCAUCUCCUGCCUCCCUUCUUCACUACCCUCACCAAUAUGGACUGGACUGGUCAGGGCUUGACUUGUGGGUGAGAUCACUGCGAAUCCAGCAACUAUUUCUCUCCUCCUUCUCCUUCUCCUUCUCCUUCUCCUUCUCCUUCUCCUUCUCCUUCUCCUUCUCCUUCUCCUUCUCCUUCUCCUUCUCCUUCUCCUUCUCCUUCUCCUCUUCUCUUCUCUCCUAUUUUUAUUUUGUCUUAUAUUAUGAUAUUUUUCAGCAUUUUCUGCAAAUAGAUGGUGCAGAGUUGCCAGGAGUGACCAAAGUGCUGCUCAUUCCCCUGCCGAGCGCCCACACCGGUUGCCAACAAUCCCCUUUCCGAAGCACCACGCCGCAUCCCGGCAGCGCCUGCUUGCCCCCUCGGGAGCUUGUCUAAUUGAAUACGCCGCGUAACUUGCUGCUAAUUUGGCAGCUGUCAAAAUGAAUUAUAAUUUGUGUUGUGGUUUUUUUUUAACAGCACAGCAGCGGGGGUGAGAAGCGCUGCCGCUCGCCGUGAUUCCGCCGACUGUGGCCGUGGUUCUCUUCCCAUCCCUUAUGCAACCAAGAGCUGUUGAAGGGUUUGAAGGGGACCGGUUUGGGUUUUCUAUGCUCUCACCCCACACUUUUACAGUGUCACUGCAAGAGUUUUGGGUCCCCCGGACAGACACCAGUUGUUUUUAUCCAUCACCAGCCCAACAGGAGCCAAGCGCCCGCUUCUGCAGGGCUGGAGCUCAAGCAAAGGCCUCCUGGUACCCGGCACAGGCUCUGCAGUAAAUCUUGCUCCCUGGACGUAGCCUUUUGGUAACCCGCAGGAAAUAUUUCAAGCUUCCGAGAUAUUUGUUGUGUCUCCUGGAAGGCGGAGGGAGAGGAGCCUGAAUUUCUUUUUCCUGCAGGGAGGAGGCGGCUCCUACAUUUUUAUCAUCGUUCGUGCGUCGCCCCGCUCAUACCUCGGAGCAAGUAGGAGCACGAAGGUGUAAAUCAACAUCAACCAAAUAAAAAAUCCCCCGUGCUGAAGGUGCUUCCAGAGGAGGCCCCUUGAGGCCCAGCCAUCCCAGCUUGGGGUGGCCCCAUGGAGCCUCCAGCAGCUCAAGGUUGGGUUCCCAUCUGCUGGAGACCUCCUGGCCAACAGGGAUCCAAGGGGAGCGUUUCUCCUGAAAAGGGAGCAGCGAGCCUGGGCCACGCUGGGGACAAAAAUCAUGGUUGUGCAUCCUCCAAACCUCCCGAAUUUCCCUGUGUCAGUAAAUGGUGUCUUCCUACCCUCUUGGGCUCCCACUGCUGAUUUACGAUCGCUGUAAUGAAAGGUGCUGAACAGGAAUGAACUGCACGGCUCCGAGUGAUUUACCGAGACAUCUCCAUCCCUCUCCUUCCCCUCUUAUUUAAUUUAGUGGCGGGAGCAGGUUUUUUGAACACCUUGGAAGUGACAAGGAUUUCAUUGAGGUUCCCAAAGGAGUUCGAGGCUUUCCCUCUCGCUUUAAUAAUAAUAAUAAAAAAAUCUCUUUGUUUUUUCCCAAACCACCAGGGCGAGCCGAGCUGCGGCGCGCCGAGGAAAGAUUGAAAGCAUUAAUAAACCCCAGCCCGGAUUUAAUGAAAGGCAAAAGAUUUUGAACAGAAAUCUCCGAGCUGAUGAAAGCGGAGCCCGGACAAUGAAGAUUUAUUAAACAAAAGGCUGCCAGGAGCUGGGGAAAGACGAUUUCUUGAGUUAUAUCACUAUACACACGCGGUAACUGCUGAGGAAUUGAGUGUGCCCAUUAAAGCCGAGAGCUUUAAAGGCGUGCGAAACGGGAAGCGAUGGCCAGGAGUUUGCUGCCGUGUCAUCAGCACCACAUCAUCGCUUUUGCGGUGAUGGAGAUGUCCUCGGGGGGGUUCUGGAAAAACUGCAAUAAUCACUUCAUUCCUGGGCCUCUCUUUUAAAUCACGUCCCAUGCAGGAGGCUGGGCGGUUCGGCUCCGGGUUAAUGGGUGAGUGCUGAUGCCAGGAGCAGCCCCGUUUGUUAUUUCUGCACCUCCUGGGACAGCAGCAGGGCAAGUGAAGCAGAAAAAAGAACGGCUGAGCUUUCCCCUCGAAGCCUGGCAAGGCUGAGCCAUUUGUACCCUCUCAUAUUAAAGGGAGGAUAAAUCAGGUGAUAACUUCAGAGCCCCCAAGAAAUUUUGGGCAGCAGAGCACGAGUGGAGAAACAAGAGGAGCAGCCUGCUUUGAAGAGGAGACGUUUAUUUUGUUUGGAAAACAAAACAGACAAAAAGAAAGAAAAACAAAAUGAAAAAAAAAAAGAACACAAACAAACACAACAUCACAAGUACCCUAAACCCAAGCAGCCAACCCAAAAGCUCCGUAAAUCCCAAACACGGGGCAGACAGCACUUUGGCUCAUCGCUUUGCCAACCUCUGCUAAAAAAAAUGUGUGCUACCAUUUCUACAGCAAACAUAAAACCCGAACUAAUCAGUACCCCCAUAUUAUUUUUUUUUUGGUGGGGGGAGGGAAAUUUGGUUCAAAUCCUAGUUUUGGCUAUUGGGGUGCUUCUUUAUGGAUCUUUUCUCCACCUCACGACCAGAAACAGCAUCCAGAAACACCCAGACCACACCGUAAAUGGUUUAAAAAAAUACCCUAAGAACAAAAAAAAA